rnacentral:rRNA from 1 species
CCGGAGCUUGCUCCACCGAAAGAAAAAGAGUGGCGAACGGGUGAGUAACACGUGGGUAACCUGCCCAUCAGAAGGGGAUAACACUUGGAAACAGGUGCUAAUACCGUAUAACACUAUUUUCCGCAUGGAAGAAAGUUGAAAGGCGCUUUUGCGUCACUGAUGGAUGGACCCGCGGUGCAUUAGCUAGUUGGUGAGGUAACGGCUCACCAAGGCAGACGAUGCAUAGCCGACCUGAGAGGGUGAUCGGCCACACUGGGACUGAGACACGGCCCAGACUCCUACGGGAGGCAGCAGUAGGGAAUCUUCGGCAAUGGACGAAAGUCUGACCGAGCAACGCCGCGUGAGUGAAGAAGGUUUUCGGAUCGUAAAACUCUGUUGUUAGAGAAGAACAAGGAUGAGAGUAAAACGUUCAUCCCUUGACGGUAUCUAACCAGAAAGCCACGGCUAACUACGUGCCAGCAGCCGCGGUAAUACGUAGGUGGCAAGCGUUGUCCGGAUUUAUUGGGCGUAGAAGCGAGCGCAGGCGG